GGUAAGUUUUGAUUGGUGAUUAUACUGAAAGUGAAAGGGGCGGGGACGAACAUUCCCGCCAGUAGUUCUCACUCAGGUCCGGGGGUGGAAGCUAUGCAGAUGAGGAACGCUGAAGAAUAAAUUCUGAUUGGUGGGUUUUGCAGAAGGUGGACGUUGUUACUUGCCGUCUGCUCGGCUUGUCCCGAAAUAGCGGCAGGCGGGUCCACAAAACUGAGUUUUGGAGUUUCUUCGUGUCUGUCACUUCCUCGGCCAUAAAUGAAGCAAUUAGUACUGUGAGGCAAGGAGAAAGGGUGAUUGCCGGAAAUAAUGCUGCAGUGCUUGGUGAAGGCUGUGUAAGGACACCAGUACCCAGCUGUGAAGUGGGAAGUACAGAGCUCGUUAAAUAUUUGAAACAGAAAAGGCUUAUGCUCUGAACCACCUGGAGCAGAAAAUGAAGAAGUGCACUGGAAUGUGAAAUUCAAAGUAAAACAAAAUCUUCAGAUUACCCAGCUAGUGACAGAGAUGAGGCCGAAAUCCAGGCUUCCUUGUCAUGCUUGGAAUCCACCUGGCUGUAUACCUGGCACCCACUUUGCCUUAAAUCUGCCUCAUUUCUCAAAGACCAAGGAUUGGUCCAGGUACCUCAGGACACGGAUGACAAGGCGGAAUAUCGCCAGCACCUGAGAAGCGCCGCCCCCUCGAGUGACUGU